UACGUAGGUGGCGAGCGUUGUCCGGAUUUACUGGGCGUAAAGAGCGCGCAGGCGGUCGUGCAAGUCGCGUGUGAAAGCCCCCCGGCUCAACUGGGGAGGGUCACGCGAUACUGCUCGACUCGAAGGCAGGAGAGGGAAGUGGAAUUCCCGGUGUAGUGGUGAAAUGCGUAGAUAUCGGGAGGAACACCAGUGGCGAAGGCGACUUCCUGGCCUGUUCUUGACGCUGAGGCGCGAAAGCUAGGGUAGCAAACGGGG
rnacentral:rRNA from 1 species